rnacentral:rRNA from 1 species
UGGGGAAUUUUGGACAAUGGGCGAAAGCCUGAUCCAGCAAUGCCGCGUGUGUGAAGAAGGCCUUCGGGUUGUAAAGCACUUUUGUCCGGAAAGAAAUCCUUGGCUCUAAUACAGUCGGGGGAUGACGGUACCGGAAGAAUAAGCACCGGCUAACUACGUGCCAGCAGCCGCGGUAAUACGUAGGGUGCAAGCGUUAAUCGGAAUUACUGGGCGUAAAGCGUGCGCAGGCGGUUUGCUAAGACCGAUGUGAAAUCCCCGGGCUCAACCUGGGAACUGCAUUGGUGACUGGCAGGCUAGAGUAUGGCAGAGGGGGGUAGAAUUCCACGUGUAGCAGUGAAAUGCGUAGAGAUGUGGAGGAAUACCGAUGGCGAAGGCAGCCCCCUGGGCCAAUACUGACGCUCAUGCACGAAAGCGUGGGGAGCAAACAGGACUAGAUACCCUGGUAGUCCACGCCCUAAACGAUGUCAACUAGUUGUUGGGGAUUCAUUUCCUUAGUAACGUAGCUAACGCGUGAAGUUGACCGCCUGGGGAGUACGGUCGCAAGAUUAAAACUCAAAUGAAUUGACGGGGUCAUAGCUGUUUCC